UAGAUAGCAGUCUCCUGUUAGCUAGUGAUAGAUAGCAGUCUGCUGUUAGCUAGUGAUAGAUAGGCAAGCCAUCUCCCACAGAGAAGGGUCCAACCAUCUCUCACAGAGAAGGGUCCAACCAUCUCCCACAGAGAAGAGUCCAACCAUCUCCCACAGAGAUGGGUCCAACCAUCUCCCACAGAGAUGGGUCCAACCAUCUCCCACAGAGAUGAGUCCAACCAUCUCAGUCCAACCAUCUCCCACAGAGAUGAGUCCAACCAUCUCCCACAGAGAUGAGUCCAACCAUCUCCCCCAGAGAAGGGUCCAACCAUCUCCCCCAGAGAAGGGUCCNNNNNNNNNNAGAAGAGAGAGAGAGAAGGGAGAGAGAAGGGAGAGAGAGGAGAGAGAAGGGAGAGAGAGGAGAGAGAGAAGAGAGACACCUGACCCUCGAAAAUACAGAUGUAGAGUAGAGAAGAAAAGAGCUUGAGUCAGAGAGACGGGACGGCCUUCAACAGACAGGACUGACAAAACAUCAGGAGACAGACAGCAGUACCUGAACCACAGCCACAAACAAUAGAGCCCUCUGGUAUCCAAGGGUUACUUUUCAUACACAUUCAAUAGAGUCAGAAGCAUCGAUAUUCUUAUUGGACGAGUAUCGCAAUAUUUUCGGCAUGUUGGAACAUAGAACCCGAAGCAGACCAAACUCGUUGGUCCUUUUAAAAAAAAAAAAAAAACCCUGCUGUAUGUGAAAUAUAUUGUGUUUAUAAGUUGGAAAAUAAAUACAUGUGACUCUGGAUCACGACAUAAAUGUCUGUCUGUUUACAACAUUGCAGCUGUUUUCCUAAAAGAAGUCCCAGCCCUACAUUCUAGAUGCCAUUCUAUAGUCUGAACUCACAAAGUAAUGAAUUACAUUAUGGUAGAAACUCAGGAAACUAAAUACAGAAGGUUUAAUUCAAAUACAAUAUAAUCGCUUGAGGCCUACAUCUUGUUAAAGGUAUAUAUUAUAAUAUGUUAAGUACAUUUUACAGCAUUAGUAGGAGUAGACACAGAAUGUACUCCAUGUCUGACCUCUAGCUUGCCCUCCUCUCUCUACAACUGGUCGUAUGGAGUUGUUAUUAUAUAACAUAAAUACGCUUAGCCAAAAGGUUGCACUCCUCAACCAACCGUCUGGCAGACAGAGUCAGAGAUGAGAGAGACGGAGUCUGCUGUUAGCUAGUGAUAGAUAGCAGUCUCCUGUUAGCUAGUGAUAGAUAGCAGUCCCCUGUUAGCUAGUGAUAGAUAGUAGUCUGCUGUUAGCUAGUGAUAGAUAGCAGUCUGC
rnacentral:lncRNA from 13 species